UACGUAGGGUGCAAGCGUUGUCCGGAAUUAUUGGGCGUAAAGAGCUUGUAGGCGGUUUGUCGCGUCUGCUGUGAAAUUUCGGGGCUCAACCCCGAACUUGCAGUGGGUACGGGCAGGCUAGAGUGUGGUAGGGGAGACUGGAAUUCCUGGUGUAGCGGUGAAAUUCGUAGAUAUCGGGAGGAACACCAGUGGCGAAGGCGGCGCCCUGGGCAGAUACUGACGCUGAGGUGCGAAAGCGUGGGGAGCAAACAGG
rnacentral:rRNA from 1 species